AUUCCUUUUGUGGUCCGUUACUCUAACAUCUUCAUUUCUUAUCAAAAGAAAAGGGAUCUGAGCAUCAAUUUUAAUGGAGGAUUUCUCAAUUUUCCUUGCUACUAUUACAACCAUUUUCAAUGGCGAGAGAUCGAUAUUCAGUGAGAAAGAGCCAGCAGAUGAAGGUGUUGAUUACUUCGAAUUUAUACCGUAUCAACAAGAGUGGAUCUGUGGAGUUUUGGGGUCGAGAUUCAAAUCAAUCAUUUCAUUCUUUUUCCAACAGCAGCGAUUGAAUCGUGGGGUUCUCAUGUGGGUAUGCAACAGAUAUUGAAGUUACAACAGCAACGAACACGAAAUUUGGGGGUUUUUGAGGUUCGAUUUGGUCUGCAAUCAAUUGAAGAAGUUGGUACAGGCAUCUACAGAUGGGGUAUUCAGUGUCUGUCUUUGAUGGAAAAAAUCGAUUAUUGCAGUGGUGUUUGUGGUAGUCGUGUGUAUAUGGAGGAUUCAUGGAACUUCACUUGCGUUGUGGGUGCUGUAAAGAAGUGGAGUUUGAUGUUUUGAUGUAAACUAAAAUUGGGUUCAUGUGAAAGGAAUUGAGGGAUGAAAUGAGUAGUGUGGAUGUAUACAGAUGUUGAGGUCGAGAUUUUGGGGGUUUAAUCGAUACUAGUUUCAUGAAAUUUACAGUCUCACUGAACAAGGAAGUGGAGGCGCAUACAAGAAAGCAAUUGGGUGAUUAUUAGGAUGUAUUGUAUGGGGUUUGUUGUCGUCCGAGCAGUGGAGUUGGGGUCAGUGUUGGCUGAUUUUAUUAUGCUACAAAGAAGGUGUUUUGACGAGAUGGCUGCCAAUGAUUCAUGACUGAAAAUGAUGGGUUUGUGUGAAAGGUUUGCUGGGGUAAUAGUUCAAUAGAUGUAUGAUUUCAGUUCCACAUCAUCAUCUGAAUUUUAGGGGUUUGUUUACAUGGGUUGCUGAAUAAGUGGUGUAGGGCUAUGAUGGUUGUUGUUGAUGGGGAAUUUUGGUUGAUGUUUACAUUGACUGAAUUGUGAGAAUUUACAGGAAGAGAGCUGUUUAUAUCAAGUCAAAUACAGUUAACUGAUUUCAGCUUUUGUGAGCAGAAAUAUGUGGAAGACUUUACAGCUAUUGGAAUGAUUUUCUCCCAAUCCAGGAAAUGUUUGAAUCAAGUAGUUAGAGAAGAAGUCAAGUUGUUGCUGUAUAAAGAUGAGCUUAAUCAACCAAGAAGGGGAGUAAGAUAGCUCUAAAGACUUGGCUACAUUAGGAGCUGCUACGGGUGCAUGGAACAAGUGUUGUUGCUUCAGUUGUGAUUAGGCUGAAAUAUUGCCGAAAUCACAGCCAUUUAGGUGAAGCUGAGAGAUUAGCGGCUGAGGUUGAAGCUGCUAGAAUAACUGCUGAGGCCGCAACCAAUGCUGAUGGACCUAGAACCCUUAGGGAUUAUUUCAGCCGGAAAGGACUUCCACACCUUCUUGUAUAGUUCUUCCGGCUAAUGCUGGCAAUGUGUCGAUUAAGUAUGGGCAGAUGCAAGAACUGCCUAAGUUUCAUGGAUUGGAAUCCGAGAGUCCAUACAUGCAUUUGAAAGAAUUUGAUGAGCAGGUGAAGAUCAACAUACCUCUCUUGAGCGUGAUUAAGCAAGUUCCAGCUUACGCCAAGUUCUUGAAGGAUCUUUGCACGGUCAAGAGGAAGCACAAUGUGCAGAAAAAGGCAUUUCUCACGGAACAGGUAAGUUCUAUUCUUCAACGUCACUCCUCCGAAAAUAUAAAGAUCCGGGAUGCCCUACUAUUUCUUGUAUAAUAGGGGAUUUCAUGAUCAAACAAGCACUUCUGAAUUUAGGUGCUAGUGUAAACCUCCUACCCUUCUCGGUUUAUGAGUAGUUGGGCUUAGGUGAAUUAAAACCCACCUCAAUCACUCUACAACUUGCGGACAUGUCAGUUAAAGUACCGAGAGGGGUAGUUGAGAAUGUGUUAAUUCAAAUCGAUAAAUUUUAUUAUCCAGUGGAUUUUAUCGUUUUGGAUACUCAACCUGUAGCUAAUGCUAGUAAAGAAAUACAUGUCAUCUUAGGUCGUCCUUUUCUUGCAACUACAAAUUCCUUGAUUAAUUGUCGAACUGGAAUAAUGCAUCUUUCAUUUGGAAAUAUGACUGCUGAGUUGAACAUAUUUGAUGCAUGUAAAGAUCCAGGUGGUAGAGAUGAUAUUCAUGAAGUUAAUAUGGUUGAAACAUGUGUGCAGGAAAAGCAUCUCAUCUAGAAGCUAAAGUUCCUUUAGAAGCUUGUCUUCCUAAUUUGUUGGAUUUCGAUGAGGAUGGAUACGUUGAAGAAGUUAAUUCUUCACUGAAUUCAUCCUUGUUGAUGGAUAUGGAUAAGUGGCAGUCUAGAUUUGAGUCAAUCCAAAUCAGUGAGACCGAGCCAUUGUCUCCAUCCGUAGAAUUCCCAAAGCCCGACCUUAAUUCCCUUCCGAGUGAAUUGAAUCAUAAUAUUUUAGGCCAAAAUGAAGAUGUUCAAGUUUUCAUACCAUCUGAACUUACAGAGAAACAGAAGACAAUGCAUUCACAUGUUCUUAGGAAGCAUAUAAGUGUCGCAGGAUGGAGUAUUGCAGACAUAGAAGGGAUUGAUCCUAGUAUUUGCACACGUAGGAAGUCACAUCUCAAUGAGCUUCAUGAGAUUAAAAAUGGGGAUGAUACGAACUGCAAACGUAAAAUGAAAUUGUUUCUUGAUAAGCAUGCUAUUAGGGAAAUAAUUGAACCAUUUCUUUGCUAUGAUUCUCAUUUGCACCACUUUUCAGGUAAGCUUAAGUCACGAUGGAAAGACCAGUUUAAUGUUAAAAAUGAAUUUCGUGAUUAUACUGUUGGAAUUCAAAAUCCUAAUGAUAACAACAUCUUCAAGAUUAAUGUGCAGCGUUUGAAACCAGUUUUGGAACUUAUGAAUCCAGAAGUCGAUACCACGACUCUGGAGGAUCCUUCUUAUAAUUGAUUGACUGUGUUUUGCAGAUGUCUGGCUGGAGACAUAAAAUUCAGCGCUUUAGGGAGACAAUCCUUGUGUUUGUGGGUAUCACAACUUAAAGCCCUCACAAGACAGAACUCGUCCUUGUGCGAGCUUGAGAUUUAAAGGCUUGUUGCAUGAGCCAAAUGCAAUCGAACUGACCUGCGACAGUGGUAAAAUAAUGUAGUUUUAUUCUUUUCUUUAUCAUGAAUAAUAUUUUGUGCCCGGCUGAUUACCCCUUUCCACCUUUGAACUGUUUUUAACCACUGCCACAUUUGGGACAAUGUAGAAAUUAGGUUGGGGUGGGGUAAAUUAAAUCCAUGCUUUUAUGAUUCUCUGUCUGCAUAUUCAGGUUUCAUUGUUUGCUUGUACUUUUUUUUUAAAAAAAAAAAUGAAGUGAAGUGAAAAUUUUACUUGAUAAGAUCAUCUGUUUAGCGAUCUAUCUACACCAGUGUUUAGUGGUUUUUUCUAGAUGUUUAGUGGAUUUUUCUUGAUGUUUAGCAGAUAUUUUUCAACCACUGUUUAGCAGACGUCUCUCCAUACCCAGCUGUAUAGCAGACGUCUCUCCAUAUCCAGCUGUGUAGCGGAUAUACUUUUUUCUUGUUUUGCUCGGGACUAGCAAAAUGUAAGUGUGGAGGAGUUUGAUAAGCACGCAAGUGAGACAUUUUUAUACCCACAUUAUACUAGCUAGGUCUCGAUAUUUGGCUAAUAAUGUUGUUUUAAGUCAUUUAAAGGAAUUACAAAUGAAACCCGUUCACCCGGAAAAUAAAUAGCUAAACGAUGAGCUGAAUGGCGUUUGCGACAACAAAGCUCAAGGCAACAAAAGAGGCCGGGCCUUUGGUGGUCUUCCUUGUAGACCCAUGCUGCUAACCACUCAAGCCACUUGCUUGGCUCUUUUAUUUCACGGACAGAGCAAAUGGAGGCUAAGAAGAUGGACGUGGCAGCUCUCCUACCACAUUCCUUUUGUGGUCUGUCACUCUAACAUCUUCGUUUCUUAUCAAAAGAAAAGGGAUCUGAGCAUCAAUUUUAGUGGAGGAUUUCUCAAUUUUCUUAGCUACUAUUACAACCAUUUUCAAUGGCGAGAGAUCGAGAUUCAGUUAGAAAGAGCCAGGAGAUGAAGGUGUUGAUUAGUUCGAAUUUCUACCGUAUCAACAAGAGUGGAUCUGUGGAGUUUUGGGGUCGAUAUUCAAAUCAAUCAUUUCAUUAUUUUUCCAACAGCAGCGAUUGAAUCGUGGGGUUCUCAUGUGGGUAUGCAAUAGAUAUUGAAGUUACAGCAGCAACGAACACGGAAUUUGGGGGUUUUCGAGGUUCGAUUUGGUCUGCAAUCAAUUGAAGAAGUUGGUACAGGCAUCUACAGAUGGGGUAUUCAUUGUCUGUCCUUGAUGGCGGAAAUCGAUUAUUGCAGCGGUGUUUGUGGUAGUCGUGUGUAUAUGGAGGAUUCAUGGAACUUCACUUGCGUUGUAGGUGCUGUAAAGAAGUGGAGUUUGUUGUUUUGAUGUAACUAAAAUUGGGUUCAUGUGAAAGGAAUUGAGGGCUGAAAUGAGUAGUGUGGAUGUAUACAGAUGUUGAGGUUGAGAUUUUGGGGGUUUAAUCGAUACUAGUUUCAUCAAAUUUAUAGUAUCACUGAACAAGGGAGUGGAGGCGCAUACAAGAAAGCAAUUGGGUGAUUAUUGGGAUGUAUUGUAUGGGGUUUGUUAUCGUCCGAGCAGUGACGUUGGGGUCAGUGUUGGCUGAUUUUAUUAUGCUACAAAGAAGGUGCUUUGACGAGAUGGUUGCCAAUGAUUCAUGACUGAAAAUGAUGGGUUUGUGUGAUAGGUUUGCUGGGGUAAUGGUUCAAUGGAUGUAUGAUUUCAGUUCCACAUCAUCAUCUGAAUUUUAGGGGUUUGUUUACAUGGGUUGCUGAAUCAAUAGUGUAGGGCUAUGAUGGUUGUUGUUGAUGGGGAAUUUUGGUUGAUGUUUACAUUGACUGAAUUGUGAGAAUUUACAAGAAGAGAGCUGUUUAUAUCAAGUCAAAUACAGUUAAAUGAUUUCAUCUUUUGUGAGCAGAAAUAUGUGGAAGACGUUACAGCUAUUGGAAUGAUUUUCCCCCAAUCCAGGAAAUGUUUGAAUUAAGUAGUUAGAGAAGAAGUCAAGUUGUUGCUGUAUAAAGGAUGAGCUUAAUCAACCAAGAAGGGUACGCUGGAAUACUGCAAACUUAAUUUUCUUUUUCUUUCAUUUCAUUUUCAGUUCUUUUUAGCUCUCUUGUGUGUUAGAUUUUUUGAUUCAAUAUUUUUAAUGGCUAUCUACACAACAAUGAGAAGCUAAACCCCUCUCUGCCAAAACUAGAGGGGAAGCUUAAUGGGUUCAAGUAUUAUUAUUUACAGUGAUCAUAAAUAAAGUCCAAGUUUUAAUUUA